rnacentral:lncRNA from 1 species
UCUUCUUCACCUCACCCCUAAGCUUCAUCAUCGACUAACACCCCACUCCAACCCUUUCCCCAUCGUCGUUCUUCUUCAUUGCCAACAACCUAAGAGCAGCGUAACUCCUUCUGCCUCACAAAAUCGGUACCCCCAAAAAUAUAGUCCUCAUAUAAUUUUCUGCACCAAGACAGAAAACCAGAGCAAUUUCCAGUCCAUCGUUGCUAAACAUAAAAGCAUCGAAGAAAGCGCAGCCCAACAAGUAUAAAAAUAGAGGCGAAUAGCUUGAAAUCAACCACAAGUGCAUCGUCUCUUUGCUGGAAAAUCCUUCGCCAACCCCCAAUUCAAAAAUUCUAGUCAAACAACCCUCAAAAUGCUACUGUUUCAGUUCAAAACCCAGCUCCAAAAUAGCUGAAAAUAACCUCAAAACUAGCUGGACUUCAACUUCGUCGUUUUGGUUCAGUUCGAGUUUUCCCGGCGAGUUUUGAGUGCGAUUUAGAGUCGAGAAAAACAGAACAAGUUUUUGGGAUCCUCGUUUGUCGUUCAGAGUUCGUCAACGAGGUUUACAGUUCAGGCUUCUGCCCUUAUUGUUAUUUUCUAGUCGAAUCUAAAUUACGGGAGUCCAUUGUAAUGAAGUUUCUUCAGUAGAGUGAAGUUUCGUUUCAGCCGGAGAAGGUCCAUCUCUCUUCCUUUUCUAUUCUAUGUGUGC